rnacentral:misc_RNA from 1 species
GAAAUGCGAUAAGUAAUGUGAAUUGCAGAAUUCAGUGAAUCAUCGAAUCUUUGAACGCACCUUGCGCUCCUUGGUAUUCCUUGGGCAUGCCUGUUUGAGUAUCAUGAAAUCUUCAAAGUAAAUCUUUUGUUAACUCAAUUGGUUUCUACUUUGGUAUUGGAGGUCUUUGCAGCUUCACACCUGCUCCUCUUUGUUCAUUAGCUGGAUCUCAGUGUUAUGCUUGGUUCCACUCGGCGUGAUAAGUUAUCUAUCGCUGAGGACACUGUAAAAGGUGGCCAAGGUAAAUGCAGAUGAACCGCUUCUAAUAGUCCAUUGACUUGGACAAUACUUUUAUGAUCUGAUCUCAAAUCAGGUAGUACUACCCGCUGAACUUAAGC